rnacentral:lncRNA from 1 species
AAUUAAGGUUACCAUGAUAAUGUGAUAGAUUUCCAUAUUAAGUAAUUUUUUUUCUUCUGGUGGUUUCUCUGUGACUGCUUAAAAAUUUAUUAUCUGAAAAUGUAAAAAAACAAAAAAGUGAUGCCUUUAUUCUUCGACACUUUAUGACAAGUGGUAAGGCCUAUAUUGGGCUGUUAGCACCAAAUAUUAGAACUAAAUUUAGUUUUAUCUUUCAUUGAAAAUAGAUUCUUUUCUCAUAAUAAUAUAUCAUGAAUCUGAUUUUGCCUCACACUACUCCUCCUAGAUCCUCCUCACCUGCCCUCACAUCUGGAUCCAUCCCUUUUCUGUCUCACACUAGAAAACAGGUUUCUAUGGCAUCAUAGUAAAACAAAAUAUAAUAAGACAAAACAAAAACAAACACAUCAGAAUAGGACAAAACAAGCAAAAAGAAGGAAAAGAGCCUAAGAAAAUACAGAAGAAACAUAUAGAGAUUCAGAGAAUCACUCAAUUGUACCCCCAGGAAUCCCAUAAACAUAAACAUACACACACACAUACACACACACACACACACACACACACACACACACAAUCUAGAAGCUGUAAUACCCAAAGGACCUGUAAGGAAGAAAAAUGUAAGAAGUUAAUUUUAAAAAAGGGAGGGCUAGACAGGGCUCAGUGGUUAAAAGCACUGGCUCUCCUUCCAAAGGACCUGGGUUCAAUUCCCAGCACCUACAUGGCAGCUCCCAACUGUCUGUGAUUCUAGUUCUAAAGGACCUGACUCCCUCACACAGACAUAUGUACAGGCAGACACAAAUGUACAUAAAAUAAACCAUUUACAAAUAAGAAAUGAAAAAUAAUAUGUCCUGUUACAACAUUAAGAAUAGUCAAAUGGGAGCCGGGCGUGGUGGCGCACUCCUUUAGUCCCAGCACUUGGGAGGCAGAGGCAGUCAGAUUUCUGAGUUUGAGGCCAGCCUGGUCUACAAAGUAAGAUCCAGGACAGCCAGGGCUAUACAGAGAAACCCUGUCUCGAAAAAACAUAAAAACAAAAACAAACAAACAAACAAAAAGAAUGGACAAAUGGGACCUCAUAAAAUUGCAAAGCUUCUGUAAGGCAAAGGACACUGUCAAUAGGACAAAACAGCAACCAACAGAUUGAGAAAAGAUCUUUACCAAUCCUAAAUCUGAUAAGGAGCUAAUAUCCAAUAUAUAUAAGAAAAGAUCUUUACCAAUCCUAAAUCUGAUAAGGAGCUAAUAUCCAAUAUAUAUAAAGAACUCAAGAAGUUGAACUUCAGAAAACCAAACAACCCUAUUAAAAAUGGGGUACAGAGCUAAACAAAGAAUUCUCAACUGAGGAAUACUGAAUGGCUGAGAAGCAGCUAGUCAACAAACUUCCAAAGAUACCAUUGAGUUCAUUUUCGUACUGGUCAUCUUCUGCUAGACAUGUGGCUUACACUUAAGAAGAGUUUGUUUUCCCAUUGAGAUUCCCUUGGAAGAAAACCAAAUUCUCAUUUUCAAAUGGUUAUCAAUUGGAGAAUUUGAGAUUAGGGAUACGGGCAGGUGACCACUUCUCUUUUCUGCUGUAGGACCCCAUCUGAUGCAGACCCAUGCAAGUCUUAUGCCUACUGCCUCAGUUUCUAUGAGUUCAUAUGUGCAUUUGUCCUGUUGUGUUUAGAAGGUCCAUUUCCUGCUAUUCUCUAUCCACUUUGAUUCAUUCUUUCAUUCAUCUAUCCAUUCACUCAUUUUUGAAAAUAAAUAAGAUAUAACAAAACCCACCACACCAACAUUGGACAAGACAAACUAACAGAAGGAAAAGAGCCCCAGAGAAGGCACAAGGAUCAGAGAUGCAGUCGUUCACAUAUUCAGGAAUCCCAUAAAAACCUGAACUUGAAGCCCUAAGCUCAGGGGACCUGAUGCAGGCACUUGUAGGCCUUGUGCACUCUGCUACACUCUCUGAAUUCAUAUUGAUGUAGAAGGCCUUGGUUCCUUGGUGACCUCCAUCCCCCACCCCUGGCUUUCACAGAGUUCCCUGAGUCCUAGGGGAGGAAUUUGAUGGAGACUUCCCAUUUAGGACUGAGUGUUCCAAGGUCUCUCUCUGCAUAUUGUGUGGCUGUGGGUCUCUGUAUUUGCUCCGAUCUGAAGUGAAAACUUAAGGGUUCCCUGAAAAUUCAGUUGUGUUCCUUUGUGUUUUGCUGGAGCAAACAUGUGAAGGAGUGUUUUCCUGAAGUAGACACGGGUGAAAGGCUAAGGCAGACUUAUGAAGGAAUAUUUAGCUGAAGCAGACAUAGGACAGAGGAUGUUUUGCUAAAGCAAGCACAUGAAAGGACACAUAAUGAAGGAUUCUUUGCUAACAACAUGCAUGUAUUGGUCCACCUUAAAUUGCAUAGUUGAGCUUUAUUUGCCAGGACUCCAUAGAGAGAAAUGUGCCAAAAAAAUUUCUGGUGGUAUGCUGCAGUUUCUUGCUGCUUCGGCAGACUUGCGCUGACUGGCUGAUUUGUCCUCUGAGACAGACACAAGUGCUGAGACAAGACCCAUGGAGGACAUGAUGAGAUGUUUGAAGGAAGUAUAAAUAGAACUCGACAGAUGGUGACUGAGGCUGAACUUGCGGUGCUGGGAGAGCUAGCUGUGCAACACCUGUUGGUCUUGUGUUGUUGCUGAUUUUCGAUUCACUGAGAGAGGCACAGCUGAUAACUUUUCUUGGUGUCCCUCCAGGUCCCUCCUGCUGACUUGAGCCAAGGCUGAGUGAGGCCUGGCUAUCUGCUAGGUAGUACCACUGCUGCUGCUAUCCUAACUCCAUUGAACUGAACUGCUGGUGUAUCCAUGAAGUGUUUACAAGUGGGUCAAGCUGCUGCUGCUAUCCUGUGAAACGAACUGCUGAUUUCCUCACAACACAGAUGGGAAAUGUGCCAUCUAUUUCUAAACAAGUCCACUUCCCCAUAUCCUUUCUUUUUCACUACCUCUGGUGGGUGGUAGGCUAAAAGUGAGGUUAAAGUAUUUAAGAACCAUCAUUAAAAGUAGACUUUGAAAAAAAAUUAAAGUUACAUCUGUCUGCUGCAGGAGGAAGCUUCUCUGAUGAUGCAGGAGCAAGGCACUGAUCUAUGAAUGUGUGGGGACGUGAAAGGCAGCCUGUUCUGGUUGAAUGAGGCUUGCUCCUGAGACCCAGUAGAAAACUCUACAAGGGGACAGAACAGUUAGCCACAUUCCCAGAGACAGGUGCCUGACACCACAGAGCCCCCAACUCCAUAAUUCUGUGACUAUCAGUCAAAAAGUCCCAAGCUCCUGGCUUUCUGGCUAGACUCCACCCUCACAGUUACCUGAGUAUAACCAGGUAUGCCCCUUCCCAUAGUUACCUGGCAACAGCAAGGUAGCCCAGCCCACUAUAAAAGGGCUGCUUGGCUUCUCCUAGCUCCUUUUAAGCUCUCACCAUUCUUACUCUCCUCUCUAGCCCUCUUUCUAUCUCUCCUUUCCCCCUACUCCACGUGGCCAUGGCCAGCCUCUCUCUUUCUUUCUACCUUUUCUCUUUCUCUCUGCUUUUCUACAAUAAAGCUCUAAAACCAUAGACUGUCUCUGAUCAUCAAGGCCCGCCUUACUUGAAUGAUGGGAUAGGCUUUCCCCUAAAGAGCCUCAUCUAACCUCCUCCCGGAAGACCUUCCUGCACUCCAGCCACGGACCAGACCAAGGACUCUCGCCCACGUGGGAACCACCCAGUGCCCCCCCCUCUCUCUGCCUUCUCUUCCCUUAGGCCUGGGGAUGACUGAGCCACCCCAGGGCCUCCACUUUGUUCUCAGCUCUUCCAUGGUGUCCAGUGGUGUCUGGGAUGCCCAAGACUAAGAGCCUGUUAUCUCUGGCCUCUGUGAGGUCCAGAGACCUCAGACUGCCCCUUGCCCAACCCCCAAGGCUGGGUCUGUAGCUUCCCACAGCCAGACACCCACCCGGGGCCACGUGGAAAGCUUGCAGCAGUCCUGCAUCUGCCUGCCCAGAGCACCAGAACUCUGGCAGGACGCUGGUUUUCUCCCACUCCCUUUAUUCCCCCACACCCGGUGCCCAACAUGAAUAUAGCAGAACGUCAUUGGGAGUCAUUUUAUUACUGUGUUCUUUUAGUAGAAUAGUAGAUUUUGAUUUUACCCUAGAACCCUGGGCUAUCUAGUUUCAGGUUCUUUGUUACCCAAGCAGCUUUGAGUAUGGUUUAUGUGGUGGUAUGAAUAUGCUUGGCCCAUGGGAAGUGGCACUAUUAGAGGGGGUGUGGCCUUGUCGGAAUAGUUGUGGCCUGGUUGGAGGAAGUGUGGUGCUGUGUAGGUGGGCUAUGAGAUGGGCUUUGUGUAGUUGGGCUACUAGAGCUCAAGAUCCUCUCAGUGCAGAAGAGAGAGCCUCCUCCCUAGCUGCCUGAGGAACACAGCCUCCUCCUGACUGCCUGUAGAAGACAGUCCAGUUCUGCUGCCUGCAGAUCAAGAUGUAGAACUCUCAGCUCCUCCAGCACCAUGUCUGCCUGCACAUUGCUGUGCUUCCCACCAUGAUGAUAACGGACUGAAUCUCUGAAACUAUAAGCCAACCCCAACUAAAUGUUUGCCCUUAUAAGAGUUGCCUUGGCCAUGGUGUCUCUUCACAGCAAUGAAACCCUAAGACAAGUUCCAUCUCAUUUAGUGGGUCUUAAAUCAACCCAGGUAUUCAUUGCUUACUCUGCCGAGCUUUGUGCCACCACUGGACUAGCUUAUCUUACAAGCAAGACACCAUUGUAGAUAGAAGAGUUUGUAGCUGGGUUGGCAUUGACAUGUCUCUAUUAGUAGCAUGCAGAGUACCUCCAGUACCAAGAACACAAGCUUGUAGGAUUGAACAUUCCUGAGGCACCAGUUCAACUUUGUGUUCAAUGAGUUCUGUAGGUGUUGUCUUCAGCAAUAGGUUUUUGCCUUCAGUUUGUGAAGAGCAUCCUAGUCCUGGCAACAGCCUGGUUGUUUGGGGUUCCCAUGGGGCCCCUUUGGCCAAUAACUCAAUUAGAUGUAACUCAUUCCCAGUAUUGGAAGGUUUAUGUGGUGACAGGAGAUGUUCAGCCAGGCCUCUUUCCCCCCAUUAUUUGGCAAUUUCAUUUAGGUAGCCUCAUAUGUGUAUGUAUUUUAGGGGAAUUCUACAGUAUUAGGCUUCCAUAGUACCUUUCAAAAAACCCUUAAUUUUAGCUGUCUUCCUUUUCCCUUCCCCUCCUUAAGUUUACUGAUAUAAUUAUGCAUAUUUGGGGAUACAAUGUGGCAAUUCUAUAUGUGUGAAAUAUAUAAUUAUCAACUUAGGAUAAUCCGCAUUUUCAUAUUCCUAAGCAUUUAUUUCUUUGUGGUAUGAACUUUUAAAUUCUUCUCCUUUAAAGUUUUAUGAAUAUCUAUUAAGUUGCUGUAAAGUGAGUAACUCUGCUGUGCUGUAGGACGUUAGGUUUAUUGUUCCUUUGCUAGACAUUAACGUAUCCCUCCACCCUCUUAAUACUGCUAACUUUAGUGACUACCACUAUAUGCUCUUUGAUGUUUCAACAUUUGAGCAAGAAAAUGCGCUAUGUAUCUUGCUGUGGCUUAUUUGGCUUAACAAAUAAGAUCAGCCAGUUUCAUCCUUGCUGCUGCACAUGACAGGAUUUAAUUAUUUUGUGGAUAAAUAUUAUUCCAUUGCAUAUAUUUUGUGGUAAAACAUACAUGGCCAAGCUAUAUAAACAUGAGUAUUGAAUUUUCACAAUUGUGAUAAACUAUUGCCUUGCUCAAUAAAUAGAACCCACUCCCAGCCCUUCAGCUAAAUCUAUUAUGUCAUUUCACUCCCCAAGUUUCACUGACUCUCAGGCUUCAAUGACUAUUCUCUUGAUUUCUAACAUUAUAGAUUUAUUUUGCUUAUCUUACAUAAUUUAGUAAUGUAGUACUAUUUGUUCUGCUUUGCUUUGGUUACACAAGGUUAUAUGAGAUUCAUUCAAGUUAUUGAGUUUACUGAGUCAUGCAUUUGAAUUUCUAUAUAGAAUUAUACAAGAUACAUUCAAAUGUGGAGAUCUAUUAUUUCUAUAUAUAGGCUAUAAGAAACAGUGUUUCUCAGAUUUAUGUAUAUUUUCUUGCAUUUUCCUAUGGCAGAGUUCUUUGUGAAUGUUAUAUAUUAGUGAACAGAAAUUUUGAUGUUACCCAGGUUGUAUAAUGUUUUCUCUUGUUGUUUGUUCUUUUUGCUCUGUUAUCAAAAUACUUUUGCUAUUCCUAAAGCUACGAAGAUAUUUUUAUGAGUUACUGUUUAGAAGACACAGCACACAUGAAAUUAAUUUCCACAAAGUAUAGUACAACACUCAUUGUUUUUCUUUUUUUAUUUAUGUAUUUGAUUUACCAAGUAGCAUCUUUAAAAAAAUAAAAAUAAAUAAAAGCCCAAC